rnacentral:rRNA from 1 species
AGUGAACGCUGGCGGUAGGCCUAACACAUGCAAGUCGAACGGCAGCACAGUAAGAGCUUGCUCUUACGGGUGGCGAGUGGCGGACGGGUGAGGAAUACAUCGGAAUCUACUUUUUCGUGGGGGAUAACGUAGGGAAACUUACGCUAAUACCGCAUACGACCUACGGGUGAAAGCAGGGGAUCUUCGGACCUUGCGCGAUUGAAUGAGCCGAUGUCGGAUUAGCUAGUUGGCGGGGUAAAGGCCCACCAAGGCGACGAUCCGUAGCUGGUCUGAGAGGAUGAUCAGCCACACUGGAACUGAGACACGGUCCAGACUCCUACGGGAGGCAGCAGUGGGGAAUAUUGGACAAUGGGCGCAAGCCUGUUCCAGCCAUACCGCGUGGGUGAAGAAGGCCUUCGGGUUGUAAAGCCCUUUUGUUGGGGAAGAAAAGCAGCAGGUUAAUACCCCGCUGUUCUGACGGUACCCAAAGAAUAAGCACCGGCUAACUUCGUG